rnacentral:snRNA from 1 species
AUUGCUUCUCAGCCUUUUGGCUAAGAUCUAGUGUAGCAUCUGUUCUUAUCAUUUUAACAUCUGAUGCAUCCUCUAUCUGAGGACAUUAUAUUAAAUGUAUUUUUGGAGCAGGGAGAUGGAUAAAAGCUUGCUCUGUCCACUCCACGCAUCGACCGGUAUUGCAGUACCUCCGGGAAUGGUGCACCAAAA